UUUUUUUUUUCUUUUUCUCAGCUCAUCAACUAGCACUUCUGGUUCCCCUACUUUGAACCGCACAAUUCUUUGUCAGGUUAUGACUGUCGACACCACAGGAUCAGAACUGCCAGAGUGAUCCUCCAGAAACACGAGCCGGAUCCUGCCGUGCCCCUGCUCUGAAACUUUAAUGGGUCCCCACUGUCUGUAGGGGAGCAUCUAAACAUGAGAGUAUGACGUUCAAGUACUACCUAAUUUUCAGGCCUCAUUUCCUACCUCCUUCUUUCCAAAUGUCCAUUUGGAUUGUAACAGGGCUAUUUAACAUUCUCCUAGGCCUACCAGAAAAUAUCAUAAUGGUCUCCAUGCUUUCAUCUUCUUUCUCAAUUUCCCUUACAACCUAUAAACAUGUCACUCAUCGCUAAAGAUUCAAUUCAAAGAUCCAGUUGUCUAUCAAAGUUUGCUUGCUUUCCCCAGUCAGAAACCCCUCACCCCUUCCUUGCAGGGCCAGAACAAAGAUCCUUAGUACCAGGAUUUCCUGUCUUGAAUGCUGGGCAACGGUCCCUGUCUGCCCACCCACACAACUGCGAGCUCUUGAGGAUGGAGCCCUGCCAUGAUUCAUGCUCUACUCUCACGACAGUGAUGCAGGACGAUGUGUUAGCAGUUUCCUCUAAGACAGCAGACUUGGCCUGAAUAAAUAAAUAAAACUAUUCAAAAUAAGAUGAAGUAUUUAGACUCUUCUCCUAAUAAUGUCAUUCUCACACCUUUCCUAGCUCUCUUGAGUAGAAAAGGGUCAAGUUCAAGUUAGGAUGUGAGGAAUGAUGCAUAUCCAUGAGCUCUCUCACGGAUGUGUGUCUUGUGUAUUUUCGGAGAAAAAUAAAAAGCAUUGAGAAAUGCCACUCUCAGGGUUCCCAUCAUGGCACAGCAGAAACGUAUCUGACCAGGAACCAUGAGAUUACGGGUUCCAUCCCUGGCCUUGCUCAGUGGGCCAGGGAUCGGAUCUGCAACCUCAUGGUUCCUAGUCAGAUUCUUUUCUGCUGUGCCACGAUAGGAACACUUUUUUUUUCCAAGGCCAUAGGUGCCACAUGUGGAAGUUCUCAGGCUAGGGGUUGAAUUGGAGCUGCAGCUGCAGACCUACGCCACAGCCACAGCAAUGCUGGAUCCGAGCCUCAUCUGCAAUCUACACCACAGCUCAUGGCAAUGCCAGAUCCUUAACCCACUGAGAGAGGUCAGGAAUCCAACCUGCAUCCUCUUGGAUACUAGUUGGAUUCGUUUCCACUGAGCCACAACAGAAACUGUCCACACUGUCAUUUUGAAAUUAAAGUAGCUAAUGUAUAGGAUAAUAGAAAUGGGCACAACUCUUUUAAUAGUGGUUCUAAGUCAGCUGCUCACUGGUGAUACUUUAAGCCACAAUGAAAAGUUAAAUACCCUUCAGGGCAAAUUUUUACAAUUAUUCAAAAAUAAAGAGAGAGGUAUUUCCCAUUGUGGCUCAGCAUAAACAAAUCCAACUAGUGUCCACGAGGGUAUGGGUUUGAUCACUGGCCGCGCUUAGUGGGUGGGGGAUUUGGCAUCACUGUGAGCUGUGGUGUAGGCUGCAGAGCUGGAUCCCGAAUUGCUGUGGCUGGGGUGUAGGCUAGCAACUGCAGCUCUGAUUUGACCCCUAGCCUGGGAACUUCCAUAUGCCAUGGGUGCGGCCCUAAAAAGCCAAAAAAAAAAAAAAAAAACAGAGAGAGAGAGCCAAUGACCAAACGCCUUUCACUCACUGAAGGCUUUCUAUGAACCAAGCAUUUGGGGGGGGGAGGGGCUGGAAGGGUUAAAAUUUUAUGACAACACUAGAAUCUUUAACCCCCUGCACUGUGCCAGGGAUUAAAUUGGCACCUGCACAGUGACCUGAGCCAUUGCAGUCAGAUUCUUAACCCACUGUGCCACAGCGGGAACUCCAGAUCAGGUGUUUUUUCAAGUGCAUCAUCUAAGUUUUAGUAUCCCUACAAAAUAAGCAGUCGCAUCCCUAUUUUACAGAUAAAGAGAACCUCAGAGAGGCUAAUGCAUGUCCCCAUGCGUAAUGGCCAGGAAGUUACAGAGUCAAGAUUGCAACUCAGGAACGCCUGACACCAAGGCCCAUGGAUUUUUCUCCUAUGACCCCAGUCUUAGUCCUGUUGGGCUGCUCCAACAAAAUACCACAGACUGAACAGCUCAUAGACCACACAUUUUUCACAGUCCUGAAGGCUGGAAGUCCCCGAUCAGGGUGCAAGUGUGGUUGGGAGGGCCCCUCUUCAGGGCCGCAGACUUCUCAUGUCUACACAUGGUGGAAGGGGCUAGGGAGCUUUCUGGAGCCCCUUUUAUAAGGGCACCGAUCCUAUUCGUGAUGGGGAACCAUCUUGACUUAAGCAUCUCCCAAAGGCCCCACCAUUAAUACCAUUAACUUUGGAGGUUAUAAUUUCAACAUAUGAAUUGGGGAGACACAACCAUUCAGACCAUAGCAUCCUCUAAACCUCUAAGGGCCCAGAUCUUACAUUCAUAACCUCUGUGAUCCUACAAAACCCAAGAGUCUUGGUGAAAGUUAAAAAAAAAAGGCAGCAGUUAGGGAAGUACCUCCUUUGUCUGAGCAAGGCACCUUCAUAGCUUUUUUCCAUCCUCUACUCACAGCCAAGUUUCUUCUCCCCAGAGCAGUACUUUACCCAAAAAUAACUUCAUGACAGGCUAAAAUAGAAAAAGGAGUACAGAUAAAAUGUGGCAAGUUGCCCAAAAGGAUUUCCUGCUGGACGCAAACUCUCCAAGGCAGUGAAUUUUCCUUCAGGUAAAAUACAAAAACGUGUAAAGUUAAGGAAAAGAGGGGGGGAACAGGGUGGGAGGCCUGCUUUGCUGCACCACACAGGCCCAGGUAAGUACUACCUGCUCUUGAAUAAGAACAUCACCGUUUUUGCUAAGCAGUUUUCCCCUAGUCAACCAAAAAGUAUCAAUCCUCUUGAUAAUCUGUAUGGAAGAAAAUAAAAUUGCCUAGAAGGCCAUCAGAGCAGUGGCUGCCCUGGAGGUCCACACCUGCCAGAAUGAAGACCUCAUCCCAUCCUUUGUAUAUUCCUUUUUUUUUUUUAGGGCCGCACCUAUGGCCCGUGGAGGCUCCCAGGCUAGGGGUUGAAUCAGAGCUGUAGAUGCCAGCCUAUACCAGAGCCACAGCAAUGCUGGAUUCAAGCCGCGUCUGCAACCCACACCACAGCCCGCGGCAACACCAGAGCCUCAACCCACCAAGCGAGGCCAGGGAUUGAACCCGCAACCCCAUGGCUCCUAGUCAGAUUCAUUAACCACUGGGCCACGAUGGGAACUCCACUCCCUUGUAUAUUCUUACAGCCAACAGUGGCUGAACACCUACAAUGCAAAAAGCAUCUGCUAGAGGCUGAGAAUAAAGAUGAAAAUAAUUUGCAACUCCUUCCCCAGAUAGUUCACUCCAGCCCGGAAGUCAGACAAGCAAGCAUACAGUUAACUAUAGCUGGAUAAAUCAUAAAUGAAGGGAUUGUGGAAAAAGAGUUGAAACAAGAAGGAAACACCCAACACAGUGUGGGGAAAGGGCUUCUUAAGCUGAGUUUGAAAUAACAAGUAGGUGUUUAUCAGAGGUGUGAGAACCAGGAAAAUAUCUCUAGCAGGGAGAACAGGGUGUGCAAGGAUAUGCAAAUCAGGAUAUGCAAAUCAGGAACCAGGGAGAAAAUGACUCCAAAUGUGAAAGGAUGGGGUGGGGGGGAGGUCAGAUCCGUUAGGUGAACAGAGGGUAAAAUUGUACACUUCAGCUUCCCCUUAUGGGUCAGCAGGUUAAAAACCUGAUGCAGUGUCCAUGAGAAUAUGGGUUCAAUCCCUGGCCUUGUUCAGUGGGUGAAGAAUCUGGCAUUGCCACAAGUUGUAGUGCAGGUCGUGAAUGCAGCUUGGACCUGGCAUGGCUGUGGCUGAGGCUGAGGCUGUGGCUGUGGCUGUGUUGUAGGCUGGCAGUGGCAGCUCCGAUUUGACCCCUCGUCUGGGAACUUCCAUAUGCCGCAGGUGUGGCCGUAAAAAGACAAAAAAAACAUCAGUACUUUGCUGCCCAUUCCCAUGUUAACCAGUGACACACUUAAGAGGGCAUGCGUGGGAAGGGAAAUUCUUAUAAGCUCAGAGAGACAAACUAUACACCACAUUGUGUGAGGGAUCCAGGGAUGUGCAUUAUCCCUGGAUCUCUUCCGUGUAUGUGAGGGGCUGAUUCUUGGUAGGUAUUUGCCUAACGAUAUGUGUGAGUCCACCACAGCCUGGUCAGAGAGAAAUGUGAGGGACAUGCUACACUGAAUCUAUCUCCCAAACAAAGCCGUCCAUAGUGGGAUGGGGAAGCAAGUCUGAACAAUGCCAUGGCCAACUGCCCCAUCAGGCAUGAGACUUCCUCUUUCAGAGCUCCUGGCUCUUCUAAGUACUACCCAGGCACCUCAGGAAAUGGAUGAAAAUCUCUGCCUCUCAGUAUCCUCAUCUGUAACAUGGGCAGAAUGAUGCUUAUGGCACAGAGUUAAUAUGACAGGGUUAUAUUAAUGUCUGUUACAGUAUCUGAUGUUUCCUUGUUAUAUUUAUUAGUUUCCAUUCUCUUGUCCUUCAUAAAUCAACAGUCACAACAAUGGUCAUGAAAGACACCACUGCCAAUUUCUCCUAUUAUUUUUAACAAAUGAUCCACAGCAUAUGUGCCAUAGAUUGAAGAUUUAAAAGCACAUUAACUUCUGUUGGCUGAUGUGGUGAUCUCAGUAACCUUCACAGUUAGAUAAGAGGAGUGAUGUCAGGGAUACAGUGAGGAAGCACGUGACCUGCCCAGAUUCAUAUGGUUGUCACGUGACAGAAGGUAAGCUCACAGGCUCAUUCUUUAUCUCCAAAGCCCAGUUCCUUUAACUGCACAGCAUUGCAUCUGUGAGUACUUGUCUAGAAAAACCAAGAACACUAAUGUGGCAGCCAUCAGCAACAAAGCUCACUUUACUAAAUGUAAUAUCAGUAAGGGGCCCUUGUGAGUUAUAGAAGCUUCUCCUGUGGCAUAACAAGUAUCUUUGCCAAAGUUCAUGGGUUCGGCUAAAGAUUUGAAAGACAAAGACCAGGUCUUAUUAGUGCCUCCAGCCUCAAGUGUUUGCUGCCAUCCUGUCAUACCAGACAAACUCAAUACCUUUUUGCUGGAUGAAUGGAUGGAUUUUGUAGGCAGUUAAUGAUUUACAAACUAUUUCUACAUCCUUCGUCUUACUUGAUUUUUUCCAAAGCUCUGGAACAUAAAGAAAAGCUGAUAUCAUUUUCUACAUUUAACACAUGAUGAUAUGCAGGUCACACCCAGGUUGCUGUUUUUGUCUUUCUUUGAAGGAUUACAAUGGAUUCAUGCUCCCUCCUGGAGCAGAACCCAGCUGAAUCCCACAUGCAGCUGUUGCCCUGCCACACAAGGCUGCUUAAAAGCCAGGACAGACACUGUUUUGUUAUUAUCUCUCAUAUCUUUCAAAAUACAUUAAAUUCUGAAAAUCUCUGUGAUAAUUAAACUAAAAAAAAAAAAAAAAAGAGCUGAAGCUGAACCAUUCAACCUAGAAUAACUAUUACAUUCCUAUUCUUUCCCUUUCUCACCUCCUUUUGGUCUCCAUUGUCUAUAGCAUGGGGUAUUCUUCUUCCUCCACAAAAAGAAUCCACUUCCUACAGAAUAGAGUUGUCAGAAUUGUGUGAACCUUGCUUUCUGUGUUAACCCUUCUGUUGGGUUUUAUAGCACACAUUUUUCCUGAAUGGUUUCCACCAUCAGUCUCAGCACUCUGAGAGCUCAUCCCAAAAGUGGUUUUGCUUUUUAGGGCCACAUCUGCAGCACAUGGAAGUUUCCAGGCUAGAGGUUGAAUUGGAGCUGCAGCUGCUGUACCUUAGCCACAGCAACUAUACCUUAGCCACAGCAACUCAGGAUCCAAACACAUCUGUGACCUACACCACAGCUCAUGGCAAUGCUGGAUCUUUAACCCACUGAGUGAGGCCAGGGAUUGAAUCCGUAUCCUCAUGGAUCCUAGUCAGGUUCUUGACCCACUGACCUCAAUAGGAACUCCAAAAGUGGAGUCUUAUGAUGCCACAGCCUUAUACCAGGUCCACUGGAGUCACCCAACAAAGCUGCACAGAUUGCUUAAUGUGGUUCUCAGGGUAUCCCAAAUCCAUAUCCUACUUAUCUUUGCAGCCCAUCUCCCACAUUUCCUCUCCAUAGGCUCUGCACUCUACCAGACCAAGAUAGUCAAAGACCCCCUAAAUAACUUCUCUGCAUUUCCACACACCAUCCCCGUCCCAUCACCACUACCAAGGAUGAAGCCUCCACUUCUAAAACCCCUCCGCAUCCUUCAAGGGCUUUCCCUUGAAACCAUCCCUCAUUUCCUUCAGCAAGUCACUCAACAAACAUUUUUUAAAAAAACUCCUUUACGCCCUAAAAAAGUUAUUCUUGAGGAGCUUAAUAUUUACCGAGCAAAAGAGACUCAGCGAAGAGAAACUCAACUCAUGAGGAUGCUGUAAUGAUAGCAUUGCAAAGCAAUGGGUCAGCCGCUGGAGAGAAUGUGGGAGGCUCCAUCCAGACCUUGCUGAGACUGCUAG
rnacentral:lncRNA from 1 species